UGGCGGCGUGCUUAACACAUGCAAGUCGAGCGGUAAGGCCCUUCGGGGUACACGAGCGGCGAACGGGUGAGUAACACGUGGGUGAUCUGCCUUGCACUCUGGGAUAAGCCUGGGAAACUGGGUCUAAUACCGGAUAUGACCUGCAGUUGCAUGACUGUGGGUGGAAAGAUUUAUCGGUGCAAGAUGAGCCCGCGGCCUAUCAGCUUGUUGGUGGGGUAAUGGCCUACCAAGGCGACGACGGGUAGCCGGCCUGAGAGGGCGACCGGCCACACUGGGACUGAGACACGGCCCAGACUCCUACGGGAGGCAGCAGUGGGGAAUAUUGCACAAUGGGCGGAAGCCUGAUGCAGCGACGCCGCGUGAGGGAUGACGGCCUUCGGGUUGUAAACCUCUUUCGACUCCGACGAAGCGAAAGUGACGGUAGGAGUAUAAGAAGCACCGGCCAACUACGUGCCAGCAGCCGCGGUAAUACGUAGGGUGCGAGCGUUGUCCGGAAUUACUGGGCGUAAAGAGCUUGUAGGCGGCUUGUCGCGUCGAUCGUGAAAACUCGGGGCUCAACCCCGAGCUUGCGGUCGAUACGGGCAGGCUUGAGUACUUCAGGGGAGACUGGAAUUCCUGGUGUAGCGGUGAAAUGCGCAGAUAUCAGGAGGAACACCGGUGGCGAAGGCGGGUCUCUGGGAAGUAACUGACGCUGAGAAGCGAAAGCGUGGGUAGCGAACAGGAUUAGAUACCCUGGUAGUCCACGCCGUAAACGGUGGGUACUAGGUGUGGGUUUCCUUCCACGGGAUCCGUGCCGUAGCUAACGCAUUAAGUACCCCGCCUGGGGAGUACGGCCGCAAGGCUAAAAC
rnacentral:rRNA from 1 species